UGGAUUUGUGUGUCUUACUAGUUGCAUCCUUAACUAGUAAUUCUGUUUUUGGUGCACAAAUUUAGGGGGAGAAGAAGUACCCUUGUGCAUGUGUGUAUUACUAGUAACUAUAAAGCUAGUAAUUGUGUUGCUUCUGUUGCUGUUUAAACUACUGUUAUGCUGUUUAACUGUUGAUAGUUUACCUUGUGAACAAAAAGGAAAGAUAUAGGCAAUUUUGGUACAACAAAGAGUGUUCACAAGAUGUUAUGUGUGAUGUCUUAACAUAAGAUAUCCUAUG
rnacentral:lncRNA from 1 species